UACGUAGGUCGCAAGCGUUGUCCGGAUUUACUGGGCGUAAAGCGUGCGCAGGCGGUCUGUUAAGACCGAUGUGAAAUCCCCGGGCUUAACCUGGGAACUGCAUUGGUGACUGGCAGGCUUUGAGUGUGGCAGAGGGAGGUAGAAUUCCACGUGUAGCAGUGAAAUGCGUAGAGAUGUGGAGGAAUACCGAUGGCGAAGGCAGCCCCCUGGGUCAAGACUGACGCUCAUGCACGAAAGCGUGGGGAGCAAACAGG
rnacentral:rRNA from 1 species